GAUGAACGCUGGCGGCGUGCCUAAUACAUGCAAGUAGAACGCUGAAGGAGGAGCUUGCUCUUCUGGAUGAGUUGCGAACGGGUGAGUAACGCGUAGGUAACCUGCCUGGUAGCGGGGGAUAACUAUUGGAAACGAUAGCUAAUACCGCAUGACAACAGUUAUUGCAUGAUAACUGCUUAAAAGGGGCAACUGCUCCACUACCAGAUGGACCUGCGUUGUAUUAGCUAGUUGGUGAGGUAACGGCUCACCAAGGCGACGAUACAUAGCCGACCUGAGAGGGUGAUCGGCCACACUGGGACUGAGACACGGCCCAGACUCCUACGGGAGGCAGCAGUAGGGAAUCUUCGGCAAUGGACGGAAGUCUGACCGAGCAACGCCGCGUGAGUGAAGAAGGUUUUCGGAUCGUAAAGCUCUGUUGUAAGAGAAGAACGAGUGUGAGAGUGGAAAGUUCACACUGUGACGGUAUCUUACCAGAAAGGGACGGCUAACUACGUG
rnacentral:rRNA from 1 species